CCUACGGGAGGCAGCAGUAAGGAAUAUUGGACAAUGGGCGCAAGCCUGAUCCAGCCAUGCCGCGUGCAGGAUGACGGCCCUAUGGGUUGUAAACUGCUUUUAUACGGGAAAAAACCCCUCUACGUGUAGAGGGCUGAUGGUACCGUAAGACUAAGGAUCGGCUAACUCCGUGCCAGCAGCCGCGGUAAUACGGAGGAUCCGAGCGUUAUCCGGUUUUAUGGGGUCUUAAGCGUGGUUGUACGGCUGUGUUGAAAUCCUGCAGCUUAACUGUAGAACGGCCAUUGAUACUGCAAGUCUUGAGUACAUAUGAUGUGGGCGGAAUGUGUAGUGUAGCGGUGAAAUGCUUAGAUAUUACACAGAACACCAAUUGCGAAGGCAGCUCACAAAACUGUAACUGACGCUGAGGCACGAAAGCGUGGGGAGUGAACAGGAUUAGAUACCCCUGUAGUC
rnacentral:rRNA from 1 species